rnacentral:rRNA from 1 species
GACGAACGCUGGCGGCGUGCUUAACACAUGCAAGUCGAACGGAAAGGCCCUGCUUUUGUGGGGUGCUCGAGUGGCGAACGAGUGAGUAACACGUGAGUAACCUGCCCUUGACUUUGGGAUAACUUCAGGAAACUGGGGCUAAUACCGGAUAGGAGCUCCUGCUGCAUGGUGGGGGUUGGAAAGUUUCGGCGGUUGGGGUUGGACUCGCGGCUUAUCAGCUUGUUGGUGGGGUAGUGGCUUACCAAGGCUUUGACGGGUAGCCGGCCUGAGAGGGUGACCGGCCACAUUGGGACUGAGAUACGGCCCAGACUCCUACGGGAGGCAGCAGUGGGGAAUAUUGCACAAUGGGCGGAAGCCUGAUGCAGCAACGCCGCGUGCGGGAUGACGGCCUUCGGGUUGUAAACCGCUUUCGCCUGUGACGAAGCGUGAGUGACGGUAAUGGGUAAAGAAGCACCGGCUAACUACGUGCCAGCAGCCGCGGUGAUACGUAGGGUGCGAGCGUUGUCCGGAUUUAUUGGGCGUAAAGGGCUCGUAGGUGGUUGAUCGCGUCGGAAGUGUAAUCUUGGGGCUUAACCCUGAGCGUGCUUUCGAUACGGGUUGACUUGAGGAAGGUAGGGGAGAAUGGAAUUCCUGGUGGAGCGGUGGAAUGCGCAGAUAUCAGGAGGAACACCAGUGGCGAAGGCGGUUCUCUGGGCCUUUCCUGACGCUGAGGAGCGAAAGCGUGGGGAGCGAACAGGCUUAGAUACCCUGGUAGUCCACGCUGUAAACGGUGGGUACUAGGUGUGGGGUCCAUUCCACGGGUUCCGUGCCGUAGCUAACGCUUUAAGUACCCCGCCUGGGGAGUACGGCCGCAAGGCUAAAACUCAAAGGAAUUGACGGGGCCCCGCACAAGCGGCGGAGCAUGCGGAUUAAUUCGAUGCAACGCGUAGAACCUUACCUGGGUUUGACAUGGAUCGGGAGUGCUCAGAGAUGGGUGUGCCUCUUUUGGGGUCGGUUCACAGGUGGUGCAUGGCUGUCGUCAGCUCGUGUCGUGAGAUGUUGGGUUAAGUCCCGCAACGAGCGCAACCCUUGUUCACUGUUGCCAGCACGUUAUGGUGGGGACUCAGUGGAGACCGCCGGGGUCAACUCGGAGGAAGGUGGGGAUGACGUCAAGUCAUCAUGCCCCUUAUGUCCAGGGCUUCACGCAUGCUACAAUGGCUGGUACAGAGAGUGGCGAGCCUGUGAGGGUGAGCGAAUCUCGGAAAGCCGGUCUCAGUUCGGAUUGGGGUCUGCAACUCGACCUCAUGAAGUCGGAGUCGCUAGUAAUCGCAGAUCAGCAACGCUGCGGUGAAUACGUUCCCGGG